GACGAACGCUUGCGGCGUGCCUAAGAAAUGCAAGUCGAGCGGGGGAGCAAUCCCUAGCGGCGAACGGUCGCGUAACACGUAAGCAACCUGCCCCGAAGACCGGGACAACACUCCGAAAGGGGUGCUAAUACCGGAUGUGCCCACACUUCUGCCUGGGAGGGUGAGUAAAGCGCGCAAAAACCCUCGCCCUAACCAAGUCUCUUUUGCCCUGCGGUAGUCCGUACGGGCAGGGGAGUUUGGUUAGAGCGUGGGGGCUGUGGUGGCUUCGGGAGGGGCUUGCGGCCUAUCAGAUAGUUGGUGGGGUAACGGCCUACCAAGUCAUCGACGGGUAGCUGGUCUGAGAGGAUGGUCAGCCGGACUGGGACUGCGAUACGGCCCAGACGCUUUCGAGCGGCAGCAGU
rnacentral:rRNA from 1 species